UUCUUCCUCCUGCAGUGGAAAUGAAUGCCGGAUGGAUGGGAAUCCUGGAUCAGGAUGGCAUCCCACUGCCUGGAACAGCAAAGGUGUUAGAAAAGUUGUUUUCCAGUUGAAGAGAUUCCCUGAGCCACCCCAAGGAAGGAACUGCCUGUGGAAGGUGAGAAGCGUAUUGAGCCAGAAGGAGAAAAGCUCUUCCUUUUGUUAUGCCAAAAGUUCAAUGCCCAAAUAAAGCGUUGGAUUGGA